rnacentral:rRNA from 1 species
UACGUAGGUGGCGAGCGUUGUCCGGAUUUACUGGGCGUAAAGGGCGUGCAGGCGGUUUGUUAAGUGCAGGGUGAAAGCUCCCGGCUCAACUGGGAGAGGUCCUUGCAUACUGGCGAACUCGAGGGAGGCAGAGGAAAGUGGAAUUCCCGGUGUAGUGGUGAUAUGCGUAGAUAUCGGGAGGAACACCCGUGGCGAAAGCGGCUCUCUGGAACGGUACUGACGCUGAGACGCGAAAGCGUGGGGAGCGAACAGG